rnacentral:tRNA from 1 species
GGUUGCACAUGUAGCUCAGUGGUAGAGCCCUUACCUAGCAUGUACAAGGCCCUGGGUUCAAUCCCCAGGACCA